rnacentral:rRNA from 1 species
CACGUAGGGGACGAGCGUUGUCCGGAUUCAUUGGGCGUAAAGCGCGCGUAGGCGGCUCGGAAAGUCGGUCGUGAAAUGCCGGGGCUCAACCCCGGGACUGCGUCCGAUACUCCCGAGCUGGAGGCAGGUAGGGGAGAUCGGAAUUCCUGGUGUAGCGGUGAAAUGCGCAGAUAUCAGGAGGAACACCGGUGGCGAAGGCGGAUCUCUGGGCCUUGCCUGACGCUGAGGCGCGAAAGCUAGGGUAGCAAACGGG